AUACGGAGGGUGCGAGCGUUGUUCGGAAUUACUGGGCGUAAAGGGCGCGCAGGCGGCUUGAUAAGUCAGAUGUGAAAGCCCACGGCUCAACCGUGGAAGUGCAUCUGAAACUGUCUGGCUUGAGUACUGGAGAGGAAAGUGGAAUUCCUGGUGUAGAGGUGAAAUUCGUCGAUAUCAGGAGGAACACCGGUGGCGAAGGCGACUUUCUGGACAGAUACUGACGCUGAGGCGCGAAAGCGUGGGGAGCAAACAGGAUUAGAAACCCGAGUAGUCC
rnacentral:rRNA from 1 species